UACGUAGGGUUCGAGCGUUGUCCGGAAUUACUGGGCGUAAAGAGCUCGUAGGUGGUUUGUCGCGUUGUCCGUGAAAACUCACAACUCAAUUGUGGGCGUGCGGGCGAUACGGGCAGACUGGAGUACUGCAGGGGAGACUGGAAUUCCUGGUGUAGCGGUGGAAUGCGCAGAUAUCAGGAGGAACACCGGUGGCGAAGGCGGGUCUCUGGGCAGUAACUGACGCUGAGGAGCGAAAGCGUGGGGAGCGAACAGG
rnacentral:rRNA from 1 species